rnacentral:rRNA from 1 species
GACAGAGGGUGCAAACGUUGUUCGGAAUUACUGGGCGUAAAGCGUGUGUAGGCGGCCAUGUAAGUCGGAUGUGAAAGCCCCGGGCUCAACCCGGGAAGUGCACUCGAUACUGCGUGGCUUGAGUACUGGAGAGGUUGGUGGAAUUCUCGGUGUAGAGGUGAAAUUCGUAGAUAUCGAGAGGAACACCGGUGGCGAAGGCGGCCAACUGGACAGAUACUGACGCUGAGACACGAAAGCGUGGGGAGCAAACAGG